UACGGAGGGUGCAAGCGUUGUUCGGAAUCACUGGGCGUAAAGCGCGUGUAGGCGCCUUCUCAGUCUGGUGUGAAAGCCCGGGGCUCACCCCGGAAGUGCAUUGGAUACUGGAAGGCUGGAGUACCGGAGAGGAGGGUGGAAUUCCUGGUGUAGCGGUGAAAUGCGUAGAUAUCAGGAGGAACACCGGUGGCGAAGGCGGCCCUCUGGACGGAUACUGACGCUGAGACGCGACAGCGUGGGUAGCAAACAGG
rnacentral:rRNA from 1 species